rnacentral:rRNA from 1 species
AUUAAUAAUUAAUAUAUUUAAUAAAAAUAAUUUUAAUUUAAUAAAUAUUUUAAUGGGGGUUAAAGUAUUUUUUAAAGAAAAAAUUUUUAAAUUUAUAGUUAAUUAGUAUUGUGAAAGAAUUUUGAAAUAUUAUGAAAAAUAAAAUUUUUAGAAAGUAAUUUUUAUUUAUUGUAUCUUGUGUAUCAGAGUUUAUUAAAAAUUUUUAAUUUAUAAAUUAAUUUCUCGAAUUUAAAAGAGUUAAAUAAUUAUUAAAGUUAUUGUAGCAAAAUUAUUUUAAAUAAUUAUUUAGAAAUGAAAUGUUAAUCGUUUUUAAAUAUAUCUAGUUUUUAUAGAAAAAAAUUUAAUUUUAAAUUUAAAAAUUAUUUAAUUAAUUUAUUAAUUAAAUAAUUAUUUAAAUUUUAUAAUUUAAGGGAUAAGCUUUAAAUUAAAUUUUUAUAAUAUUAAAUUUUUAUUUUGAAAAUUUUAUAAUUUAUAUUGUUAAUAAAUUUUAUUUUGUUAUAAAUAAUUUCAUUUUUUUUAAAAUUUAAAUUUUAUUUAAUUUUUUAUAUAAAAUUUAUUUAUAAUUAUAUAAAGUUAAUUAUAAUGAUAAAAUUAGUAUAUUAUUUAAUAUUAAAUUAAAAUUAAUUUUUGAUUAAUAAUUAAAUUAAUUAAAAGGAAUUCGGCAAAUAUUUAUUUUCACUUGUUUAUCAAAAACAUGUCUUUUUGUUAUUUAAUUUAAAGUCUAAUCUGCCCACUGAUUUAUAAAAAUUGAAGGGCUGCAGUAUAUUGACUGUACAAAGGUAGCAUAAUCAUUAGUCUCUUAAUUGGUGACUUGUAUGAAAGAUUGGAUGAAAAAUAUACUGUCUCUUAAUUAAUAUAUAGAAUUUAAUUUUUUAUUUAAAAAGUUAAAAUAAUUUAAAAAGACGAGAAGACCCUAUAGAGUUUAAUAAAUUAUUUUAUGAAAGUUUUAUUUAUAUUUACUAAUAAUUUUAUAAAUUUAUUUAUUUUGUUGGGGUGAUAAAAAAAUAAAUUUAACUUUUUUUAAGUAAUUUACAUGAAUAAGUGAUUAAU